rnacentral:rRNA from 1 species
UCGCGGCCUAUCAGCUUGUUGGUGAGGUAAUGGCUCACCAAGGCGACGACGGGUAGCCGGCCUGAGAGGGCGACCGGCCACACUGGAACUGAGACACGGUCCAGACUCCUACGGGAGGCAGCAGUGGGGAAUAUUGCACAAUGGGCGCAAGCCUGAUGCAGCAACGCCGCGUGGGGGAUGAAGGCCUUCGGGUUGUAAACCCCUUUUAGCAGGGAAGAAGCGAAAGUGACGGUACCUGCAGAAAAAGCGCCGGCUAACUACGUGCCAGCAGCCGCGGUAAUACGUAGGGCGCAAGCGUUGUCCGGAAUUAUUGGGCGUAAAGAGCUCGUAGGCGGUUUGUCGCGUCUGCUGUGAAAGUCCGAGGCUCAACCUCGGAUCUGCAGUGGGUACGGGCAGACUAGAGUGUGGUAGGGGAGACUGGAAUUCCUGGUGUAGCGGUGGAAUGCGCAGAUAUCAGGAGGAACACCAAUGGCGAAGGCAGGUCUCUGGGCCACAACUGACGCUGAGGAGCGAAAGCGUGGGUAGCAAACAGGAUUAGAUACCCUGGUAGUCCACGCCGUAAACGGUGGGCACUAGAUGUGGGGCUCUUUCCAUGAGUUCCGCGUCGCAGCUAACGCAUUAAGUGCCCCGCCUGGGGAGUACGG